rnacentral:rRNA from 1 species
GACGAACGCUGGCGGCGUGCUUAAUACAUGCAAGUCGAGCGGAGCGGCGAACGGGUGAGUAACGCGUGAGUAACUGCCCCCCUCUCUGGGAUAACAGUUGGAAACGGCUGCUAAUACCGGAUAGUGGGGGAUGACUCGCGUCCUAUUGGCUUGUUGGUGGGGUAGUGGUCUACCAAGGCGACGACGGGUCGCCGGCCUGAGAGGGCGACCGGCCACCUUGGGCUGAGAUACGGCCCAAACUCCUACGGGAGGCAGCGGUGGAGAGUAUUGCACAGUGGGGGAAACCCUGAUGCAGCAACGCCGCGUGCGUGAUGACGGCCUGCGGGUUAUAAACCGCUUUCAGCCAUGACGCGGUAGUGGCAGAGGAAGCACCGGCUAACUACGUGCCAGCCGCCGCGGUAAUUC